rnacentral:misc_RNA from 1 species
UCCGGUUUGUCACCGGCAGUCUCCCAUGAGUCCCCAACUGAAUGCUGGCAACAUGGAACGGGGGUUGCGCUCGUUGCGGGACUUAACCCAACAUCUCACGACACGAGCUGACGACAGCCAUGCGGCACCUCUAUGGCGGCUCCCGAAGGAGAAGGACUGUUUCCAGACCGGUCCACCACAGUUCAAGCCCAGGUAAGGUUCUUCGCGUUGCAUCGAAUUAAACCACAUGCUCCACCGCUUGUGCGGGCCCCCGUCAAUUCCUUUGAGUUUCAGUCUUGCAACCGUACUCCCCAGGCGGAGUGCUUAACGCGUUAGCUUCGGCACCACGAGGGUCAAAGCCCGUGACACCUAGCACUCAUCGUUUACGGCGUGGACUAC